rnacentral:lncRNA from 1 species
UGGGGGUGCCAGCCGGGGCACGCAGGGAGCCCGGGGCAGCUACAGCUGGUGGUGCCGGUGAUGCCCGUGACCACCUGGACCACUGACUGAGGUGCUGCGGGCACGGUGCCCGCAGGCAAGAGGGAAGGGAGAAGGGACACAACAGUCUGGGAUAUCCGGCGGCACCACCGUACUCAGCCAUGGCACCGGAAGGUCAGUAAGUCCUGGGGACAAAGGUGCAGUUCAGAGCUUCACCCAGCCACGCCGGGCUGCCGGCAGUGUGGAGAAGUCACCCUCAAAUCCAUUCCUAGAGGAAAGUUGCUUCCUCUUUUCCUUCCAGCCUCAGUUUCCGUGUAGACCCAACCCUUUCCUCAGAACAAUGGUGGAAGGAGCACGCCCAUCCCGGCGGAACCCCUCCAUCCCUGGGAGCUCGGAGAGGGUGAUAGCAGACAGAACCUCACCAUCAGCCUGGAUCUAUAAUCCCCUCCCAGUGUCUGUAAGCUGUCACUGCUCCUUUAAUUCCCCCUCCCACUGCCCUCCCGGCUUUGCUCGUACAUCCUGCCCGCCGAAACUCCACCUUCCGCGGGGCUGUACUGAGCCGGGCUGGGCUGGGCCGGGCCGGGCCGAGCCGAAGCGGGCAGGGCGGUGGCGGCAGCAGCUUCCCCUGCCCGAGUAUUUUGAGCCACAGAGCUAAGAAUAACUCGUACGGUGCCCGUGUCUGCAGAGAGCUCGCCGUGUCCGCAGCCAUGGCCCGUGCUGGUACGUGGGGUGGGAAAGGGUGCAGGGAACCUGGCAGGAGCUAUGGGCAGGGGAAGUUCCCUGGCCGCUGGCAGGUUGUGGUGUGAGUGCCGGGGAGGUGGUGAGGUGGGAUCUGGGGGCAGUGUGGGCAGCUGUACCUGAGAUCCCUCCUUCCUCAGGGCCCCUCAGUUCUGGCAAGUGUCUGGGGCUGGAGAAGCCAUCCUGCCAGCUCUGCAGGCACCGAGUGCCUUGCCGCAGGGAGAGACUGCCAGGGUGCGGCUGUGGGGCAGGAGUCGUGGGAGGACCUCCACAGAUUUGGGACUGUCGUAGAGGAGAGAAGGGCUGGCGCUUCCCUGGAGAAGGGUAGUGGGUUUAGAGCAUCCCAGAGCAGGCAGAGUCAUGGGAAAGGGUAAUUUUUUUUUCUUCUGAAAAGAUUCUGGCUAGGGCAGCCACAUGGGUUAGCAGCCAAGUUUAUGCCCUGUGUAUGUGCC